GAUGCAGCGACGCCGCGUGAGGGAUGACGGCCUUCGGGUUGUAAACCUCUUUCAGUAGGGAAGAAGCGAAAGUGACGGUACCUGCAGAAGAAGCGCCGGCUAACUACGUGCCAGCAGCCGCGGUAAUACGUAGGGCGCAAGCGUUAUCCGGAAUUAUUGGGCGUAAAGAGCUCGUAGGCGGUUUGUCGCGUCUGCCGUGAAAGUCCGGGGCUCAACUCCGGAUCUGCGGUGGGUACGGGCAGACUAGAGUGAUGUAGGGGAGACUGGAAUUCCUGGUGUAGCGGUGAAAUGCGCAGAUAUCAGGAGGAACACCGAUGGCGAAGGCAGGUCUCUGGGCAUUAACUGACGCUGAGGAGCGAAAGCAUGGGGAGCGAACAGGAUUAG
rnacentral:rRNA from 1 species